CAGGGAAUUUUGCGCAAUGGGCGAAAGCCUGACGCAGCAACGCCGCGUGGGGGAUGAAGGCCUUCGGGUUGUAAACCCCUUUCAGGAGGAACGAAAUUGACGGUACCUUCAGAAGAAGCCCCGGCCAACUACGUGCCAGCAGCCGCGGUAAUACGUAGGGGGCGAGCGUUGUCCGGAAUUAUUGGGCGUAAAGAGCUCGUAGGCGGCUAAGUAAGUCGGCGGUGAAAAGCCAAGGCUCAACCUUGACCCUGCCGUCGAUACUGCUUUGGCUAGAGUCCGGUAGAGGAGAACGGAAUUCCCGGUGUAGCGGUGGAAUGCGCAGAUAUCGGGAGGAACACCUGUAGCGAAGGCGGUUCUCUGGGCCGGCACUGACGCUGAGGAGCGAAAGCGUGGGGAGCAAACAGG
rnacentral:rRNA from 1 species